rnacentral:RNase_P_RNA from 1 species
GUGGAGGGCUGGAUGGCCGCGGGCCUGAUGGUCCGAGGAAAGUCCGGACUCCCUGAAGCAACGGUGCCGGGUAACGCCCGGGCAGGGCAACCUGACGGAUAGCGCCACAGAAAACAGACCGCCGCGUUCACGCGGUAAGGGUGAAACGGUGGGGUAAGAGCCCACCGGGGGGCUGGUAACAGUUCCCGCAUGGCAAGCCCCACCGGGAGCAAUGCCAAAUAGGGACCCCGCGCGGGGCAUGAUCUGGGGGUGACCCCGGAUAUCGCCGUAGGGCCGCUUCAGCCCGAGGGGUCCGGGUUGGCAGCUUGAACCGUUCGGCAACGAACGGUCUAGAGGAAUGGUCGUCGAACCACAGACCAUGGUUUGUGGGGAACAAAAUCCGGCUUAUAGGCUCUCCGCGCAU